rnacentral:rRNA from 1 species
CGCAAGCCUGACGGAGCAACGCCGCGUGAGGGAUGAAGGCCUCUGGGCUGUAAACCUCUUUUCUCAAGGAAGAAGAACUGACGGUACUUGAGGAAUAAGCCACGGCUAAUUCCGUGCCAGCAGCCGCGGUAAUACGGGAGUGGCAAGCGUUAUCCGGAAUUAUUGGGCGUAAAGCGUCCGCAGGCGGCCUUGAAAGUCUGUCGUUAAAGCGUGGAGCUUAACUCCAUUUCGGCGGUGGAAACUACAAGGCUUGAGUGUGGUAGGGGCAGAGGGAAUUCCCGGUGUAGCGGUGAAAUGCGUAGAUAUCGGGAAGAACACCAGUGGCGAAGGCGCUCUGCUGGGCCAUAACUGACGCUCAUGGACGAAAGCUAGGGGAGCGAAAGGGAUUAGAUACCCCUGUAGUCCUAGCCGUAAACGAUGAACACUAGGUGUCGGGGGAAUCGACCCCCUCGGUGUCGUAGCUAACGCGUUAAGUGUUCCGCCUGGGGAGUACGCACGCAAGUGUGAAACUCAAAGGAAUUGACGGGGGCCCGCACAAGCGGUGGAGUAUGUGGUUUAAUUCGAUGCAACGCGAAGAACCUUACCAGGGUUUGACAUCCUGCGAAUCCCUUGGAAACUUGGGAGUGCCUUCGGGAGCGCAGAGACAGGUGGUGCAUGGCUGUCGUCAGCUC